GUAGUCAAGAUGAGAAUUCUAAGGUGAGCGAGCGAACUCUCGUUAAGGAACUCGGCAAAAUGACCCCGUAACUUCGGGAGAAGGGGUGCUCUUUAGGGUUAACGCCCAGAAGAGCCGCAGUGAAUAGGCCCAAGCGACUGUUUAUCAAAAACACAGGUCUCUGCUAAACCGUAAGGUGAUGUAUAGGGGCUGACGCCUGCCCGGUGCUGGAAGGUUAAGAGGAGUGGUUAGCUUCUGCGAAGCUACGAAUCGAAGCCCCAGUAAACGGCGGCCGUAACUAUAACGGUCCUAAGGUAGCGAAAUUCCUUGUCGGGUAAGUUCCGACCCGCACGAAAGGCGUAACGAUUUGGGCACUGUCUCAACGAGAGACUCGGUGAAAUCAUAGUACCUGUGAAGAUGCAGGUUACCCGCGACAGGACGGAAAGACCCCGUGGAGCUUUACUGUAGCCUGAUAUUGAAAUUCGGCACAGCUUGUACAGGAUAGGUAGGAGCCUUUGAAACGUGAGCGCUAGCUUACGUGGAGGCGCUGGUGGGAUACUACCCUAGCUGUGUUGGCUUUCUAACCCGCACCACUUAUCGUGGUGGGAGACAGUGUCAGGCGGGCAGUUUGACUGGGGCGGUCGCCUCCUAAAAGGUAACGGAGGCGCUCAAAGGUUCCCUCAGAAUGGUUGGAAAUCAUUCAUAGAGUGUAAAGGCAUAAGGGAGCUUGACUGCGAGACCUACAAGUCGAGCAGGGUCGAAAGACGGACUUAGUGAUCCGGUGGUUCCGCAUGGAAGGGCCAUCGCUCAACGGAUAAAAGCUACCCCGGGGAUAACAGGCUUAUCUCCCCCAAGAGUUCACAUCGACGGGGAGGUUUGGCACCUCGAUGUCGGCUCAUCGCAUCCUGGGGCUGUAGUCGGUCCCAAGGGUUGGGCUGUUCGCCCAUUAAAGCGGUACGCGAGCUGGGUUCAGAACGUCGUGAGACAGUUCGGUCCCUAUCCGUCGUGGGCGUAGGAAAUUUGAGAGGAGCUGUCCUUAGUACGAGAGGACCGGGAUGGACAUACCUCUGGUGUACCAGUUGUCGUGCCAACGGCAUAGCUGGGUAGCUAUGUGUGGACGGGAUAAGUGCUGAAAGCAUCUAAGCAUGAAGCCCCCCUCAAGAUGAGAUUUCCCAACUUCGGUUAUAAGAUCCCUCAAAGAUGAUGAGGUUAAUAGGUUC
rnacentral:rRNA from 1 species